rnacentral:pre_miRNA from 1 species
AUCACUGAGAGAUCUUGUUAAAAUGCAGAUUCUGAUUCAGUAACGGGCCCUAAGAUUCAACAUUUCUAACAAGUUUCCCUGUGAUGCCAG